rnacentral:tRNA from 1 species
GGGGAUGUAGCUCAGUGGUAGAGUGUUUGCCUGGCAUGCACAAGGCUGUAGGUUCAAUCUCCAUUCACA